GUACACGCUGUGACUAGCAUAUCAAUAAGCGGAGGAAAAGAAACUAACAAGGAUUCCCCUAGUAACGGCGAGUGAAGCGGGAAGAGCUCAAAUUUGAAAUCUUAAAGGGUUUCCCUUUACGAAUUGUAGUUUAAAGAAGUGUUUUCUGUUGAGGUUUUGGUAAAAGUUCUUUGGAAUAGGACAUCAUAGAUGGGUGAGAAUCCCGUAUUUGACCUUUACUUUCAACUUUGUGAUACACUUUCAAAGAGUCGGAUUGUUUGGGAAUGCAGUCCAAAAUGGGUGGUAAAUUUCAUCUAAAGCUAAAUAUUGGCGAGAGACCGAUAGCGAACAAGUACCGUGAGGGAAAGAUGAAAAGAACUUUGAAAAGAGAGUUAAACAGUACGUGAAAUUGUCAAAAGGGAAGCGUUGACACCAGUGUUGUUUUUCUGAAAAUCAAUUAAAGAACUGUUUAUGCUAGGUUGUUUAGACUUUAUCAGCUAACUGUUUAGUUUUGAGCUUUUCUUUAAUGCACUUUCCAGUUAACAAGUCAACAUCAAUUUCUUUUGCUGUAAAAAAGCUUGAGGAAGGUGGCUUGAGAUUCGUCUUAAGUGUUUAUAGCCUCUUGCCUAUGCAGUCGGAGAGAUUGAGGUCUGCAGCGUAGAUCCUUCGGGGCUAAAUGCAUUUGUGCUAAGUUAUAGCAUUUUAUAGACAACUUGUUGACUAUGAUUUGUCUUGUAGCUUACUCGCUUAUGUUAUUUUACCUACGCUUAGGAUGUUGAAGUCAUCGUAUCGCGC
rnacentral:rRNA from 1 species